ensembl:lncRNA
GGAAGGAUGGAACUUCACCCAGGCUCACAGCAAGCAGACUUCCUGAUGGUGAGGCCCCACCCUCAGCCUCCAGAGGAUCUUUCUCUCCGCCUGCGUGUUGUCAGAGCAGCUGCCCUGGAAGCACGGCUCUAGACAGUGACCGCACGAGUGCCGGGGCAGGUGGGUGUGGGGUCUGACUCAUGGGAUGUGACUCAGGGUCCUGGGUGUUGGAGUCAGAGAGACCGUGGCGGGGGUGCUCACUUGGGUAUAUGCAAAACUUUUGCCUCUUGGGGACUUCCCUGGUGGUCCAGUGGUUAAGAAUUUGCCUGCCACUGCAGGCAGGCAAUGCAACUGUUUCGUCAGGAGUCUGGGAAGAUUCCACAUGCCACGGGGCAACUCAGCCCAGGCACCCCAACUACUGAAGCCCUCAUGCCCUGGAGCCUGUGCUCUGCAACAAGAAAAGCCACCGUAAUGAGAAGCCCAAGGACCACAACUAGAAAAACCUACAAGCAGCAACGAAGACCCAGUGCAGUCAUAAAUAAAUAAAAACUCUGCCUCUUCGGUAAUGGUAACAGCUGCCACCACAAUCAUAAUAAUAACAGCAGCCUGUAUAUAGAGUUUUUGUACCAGGCACUCUGAGCAGAGCGCUUGGUGUUGUCUCUAAGGUUGUCAUUAGCCCAUUUUACAGGUGAGGAAAUGGAGAACCAGGGAGGAAUAGGGCAGGAAUCCCUGUCUGCUUAACUCCACAGUUCUUGUUCUGAGUCCUGAGCCCCCAUGGGAGGCUGCAACUUUGAAAGAGCAGUUUUUCUGGUUUCUUUCCUUGAGGUUAAGAUACAUCCUGAGGCCAAGGUUCUGCAACUGGAGACUCCAGGGGUGUCUCUCCCAGGAGACCUGCUAUGUAGUCAGGCUGUCCCAUCCCAUCAGGGUCUGGAAUCUUUGCUGCGUCAAGGCCCCAUGUCAUCAGCACCAGAUCUUCUAAUGACACACUGCAGCCUGGGAAAUUACAGUGCCCAGGAGACUUGUCCCAGAGGCCUUGCUCAGGGUAAUUCCAGAGCAGGAGAGAAUGCUGGGAAUAACAAGAAAAACAGAGUCAGGCUGCCAGCCUUAGGUAAUGGAAUGGUGUGUUGUGGCCAUGGAGCAUGGGGGAUGGAGAAUUUUAUUUUCUAAAACAGAUUUUUCUCCCUAAAUUUUAAAAAUACUGAAAAAUGCAAAAUCAAAAGUAAAAAUGAUACUCAGUCUUAUCAUUUAAAAUUAUGCCUUUCAAUGCCACUCCCCAGAAAUGAUGACUGUUACAGGAGGCUUUGAUUCAUCUCCUUCUGAAGUUGGCCUCUGCUUCUACAUAUGCACAUGGACAAUUUUCAUGAAUGGAGUCAAGUUUUGCAUGUUGGCCUGCAAGCUGCUUCUGUCACUUAAUGAUGCGUCAGAUAUUUCUUGCUUGACUAGUAUAGGAGCUGAACUUAGAGGAUGCUAAUAUUCAUUUAAAAGGUGAGUACCACUUGACACAGAACCGGAGUGAAGGUAUGGAGCAACUGGAACUCUCUUCUGAGGAUGGUGGGGAUAACAAACAAUUGGUUUAACCAUUUUUGGAAAACUGCUUGCCACUGUCUACUAAAGCUAAUCGUACCCGCAUCAGAAAUGCAUACACACAUUCACCAAAAGGCCUGGGCAAGAACAUUCCCAGCAGCACUAUUCAAAUAGCCGCAAUUCAAAAGUCCAUCAAAAAUAGAGUGAGUUUUUAAAAAUGUGAUUUAUUUAUACAGUGGACGUCAUAUACCAAUGGAAAGGAAAGAACCAUAACUGCACACAAGAGCAAAUCUCACAGGUGUGGUGCUCAGCUAAGAAGCCAGACACACAAAACCCAUACGGCAUGAUUCCAUUUGUAUAAAGCUCAAUGUCAGGCCAAAUGAGUCUAUGGUUUUAGACGUCAGGAAGGGGCACAAGAGGAACUUCUGGGGGCUAAAGUGCUGUUUCUUAAUCUUAGUCUACUGGCUAUUUACAUGGGAUGUUCCAUUUGUCAGAAUUCACUGAGCUGUGCGCUUACACUGAAGAUCUGUGUACUUUUCUGUAUGUGUCAUACUUCAGUUAGAGUCUAUUUUCUAAAGAGAGGCUCAAUGGCAUUCAGUCCCUUCCCCUGAAAUCAGUCCUGUUUCCCCUAGGUUUGCCCCUUUCUCUCUCUCUUCCAGAACCUUCGGAGCGCACACAGCAGGUGUGGCAUAUUGCCAUCGGUCCUGUGGGGCAGAGAGAGGAAAAGUCGACCUUCAGGUCCUGGAAGCCCUGGUGGGACCCAGUGGCCAGCCUUGGGAGAGCACUCAGGCCGCACCGCCCCCCAGGCUUGCUCCGAAGAUCCUGACACCAACUAGCUGAGUCCCAGGUCACCUUCCCUCAGCUCCUGCAUCUGCACGCUCCCUGGGGAGAAGAACCCGGCUGUGCUCCACACCGACUGUGCGCCAUGCCCUCUACUGAGAAUUUUCCAUACACAAUACAAUUAUACACAGGCUCUAAGUCCUUCAGCAACAUCCCUCUGUGCUGCGUGCGCUUUUGACAGUCUGGGCAGGGCGUGGGGUGAGCAGUGACUUGGCGGAGAUGGGGGAAGGUGAGUGAGAGGGCAUCUGUUACUGAUUUGCCCAUAGGUCCCCUGGGCUCUUUACCUGGCUUGGGAAAUUCUCUUCCCCUGAGGCUUCGAGCGAUUAAAGAGCAAGACACUUGCUUCCUCAGCUUCCCUAGCGGCCAAGUAUAGGCACGUGACCUGGGAUCGGCCAAUCAGAUGCCCCUGCUCUGGUCUUGGAGUCAGGAUGGGGGAAGGGGAAUGACUCUAGGGAUGGGCAGUGGCUACAUCCUGUUUCUGGGGAACAGCCGCCUCCGUGGGGCCAAUAGCACAGUCCAGUGUUUGGAGUCCAGUUCAGACGUCAGCGGGGAGAAGAGAGUCAUCUAGGGUUCCUGGGGGCCCUUGGGUUCUCAAGAAGCAGCUCUGGGGUGUGGAUUUGUCAGCCUUCCUCACAGUGGAGUUCUCCAGCCCACUGUCGAUUCUACGACCUACCCAGGGUCCUGUCAGAACUUCCCUUUCGUGCUUAACUCAGCUAGACUGGCUUCCCAGGUGCUGCAGUGCUAAAUAAUCCACCUGCCAAUUCAGGAGCUUCAAGAGACAGCGGGUUCGAUCCCUGGGAUGGGAAGAUCCCCUGGAGGAGGAAAUGGCAACCCACUCCAGUAUUCUUGCCUGGAAAAUUCCAUGGACAGAGGAGCCUGGUGGGUAGCUGACAGCCAUGGGCUCUCAAAGAGUCUGACUCGACUGAGCAUGAGCACACACAGCUAGAACAAUCUUUUGUAGGUUGCAGCUACAGGAAGGGCAUAGGGCAUGGUUGGCUCCCAAGCCAUCCCACUGGGACAGGAGACCUGGGCGUCUCUGCCCCUCCUGACAGUGACCAUGGCCAUGGCAUGUUCCCGACCUGGGUGCUCACUCAGAUCCCUGAGCCAGCAGAGGCCACUCAGCACGGGCAGGGUGGUAAGGUUACAGAAGCCCUUAGGGACACUCCAGGAGGACCCAGGCUCUAAAUAGAAUGUCCUAGGCAAUGUCCCUUCAUCAUAAGAGCCACGCAGCUUUAGAGCCUGGGCCACCCUUCAGAGCAGCCGGGGGCUGGCCUCCCCAAGUCAGGAGGCCUGGGUUCUUAUCUGGCUGCAGGUAACGCCGUGUGUGGCUUGGGUCAGUCACGCCUGUUCUCUGAGCCUCAGUGUCCAUGUCCUGCCCGGGAAGCCUGGGAGGGGGACAGAUAACUGAGAGGUCCCCUCUAGGACUGGUGCUUCCAGAACGAGCACCCGGAACCUCUGGGACCUCAUCAUCCCCACCCCACCCCCUGCCUCAGCCCCUGAACUCCUGUGAGCUCCCUG